GGAUGGAACAGCGGAGGGUGCACCCACGACAGGUCUUUCACAAGGCAGAAAGCUUCUGGAGACCCUGAAUCUUCUGGUGUCCUCACUGUGGACUCCCCAGCCCACGGAACAGGGCAGUAAUGGGCCUGACUGGAUCCGUUUCUACUCUCUUGCCCGGUGGUAGGACCUGAAGGCAUUUAUGUUCACCAAGGAUUUCCGACAGGCAGCCUCUGGACUAAUUUCCGGUGUUCAUCUGAGUGAUGAUGUUCUUCAUGUGAAAAAUCUUAAAGCUUCAAUUGUGGGAAUAUUUAGACAGUCUGAAAUGUUCAGAUGUUUCUUUACUUUGAAUUUUCCUUUCUUUUUUUACCUGCAAAGUAGAUAGUUCAAAUUCUCUGGGAAAAAAAAAUCUUUGAAAUAGGUAAAAGAGAAAAUGAUAAUGUAAUUAGAAGAUUUGAAUCAUUUUCUAAAAUGCUUUUAAAUGCCAUACUGGUGGGAAAAAAAGCUGAUUAAGAAACAAAUGUUCUUGUGAGGCAGGGGCACUUUAUAAUAUGAAUUGAUUCUUUUGAACUUGAGACUCUGUUUAUCCAGUAACUUAUAUUUUAAGGUCAAUGGUUUUUACAUCUCAGAUUAUGAAACUGUAGAUGCUUAGUAAAAAUGUGGAAACAUUCAGAACAAGCUACAACAAAGAAAAUAUUAAAAAUGGAUGGAUGGCCCAAUAAAUCAAAGAUCCAUUUGCAUGUAGACCAGCAUUUUUUUCUGUGUAUAGAACUGCUUUCUUUUCUGGUUUGCUUUGUUUAUUUUUUAAUUUUAAUAAUACAAAUAGUGGCAUUGCAAAAUGCAAAGAAUAUACAAGUAUAUGCAAUACAAAGAAAAAAACUAACUUUCACUUUGUACAGCCCUGAUACCUUGUUUAGAGUAAACACUUUCUAAUUAAAAAUGUGACCAUCCAGGUCUGCUCUGUUUCAUUUAGUUAUAUAGUUACAUUUAUCUAUGUUUAUACUUUCAAAUAUAACAUAAUACACAAAUAUAAUAUGUAUACACAUAUUUGAUAUAUAUAUCUUAUUUAUGUCAUAUAUAUGAUGUAUAAAUACAGUUUCCUUAACAUUAUAUUGAAAAACUUUCCUGUAUAGUAAAAACUUAAUAAAAGCAUGUUUUAUCAUUAACUAUCUUGUAACUCAUUAGAUCAUCACAUAUUGAUAAAACUAGUUGUCUAUUUUAAACUUUAACACUGAAAUGGACAUUAUUUUAUAUGCAUUUUUCACAUCUAUAUCUUUAAAACAGAUCCAUAACCUGAAAUAGAUAAAAAAAGAUUUAAUUUGUUUCUUGAUACUUAAUGCAAAUAUUUCCCUUUUAAUAAAUGUAUCCCCAAAUACAUGCAUAGUAGUUCUAGUAUUUCUUGAUUUUACAAAUCUGGAAGACAGGGACGAGUUAGAAAUCCCUUCUCAUCCUCUGUCCUCAGAAUUUAUCAUCCAAAAGCAACAUAAAUUAAAAGUGUUACCAAGCAGUAUUUCCCAACCUUUGCUGCAUGAUCAUCUAGAGAUUACUAAAAAAUACUGAUGCGUGGCUCCGAGCCCUCAGAUCUCCUGAUUUAAUUGAGAUGGGUGGAAACUGAACAGUGGGAUUUUUAAAAGCUCCCCAGGUGGCUCUAAUGUGCAGCAAAAUGUGGAAACUGCUGUCAGAGUAGUUAGUCAUUGGAAGAUACCCAGACCCAUGAAGCUAAGAGGUCAAAUGAAGGUCAUUGUACAGAUUCUAUGCUCGCUACUUAGUAGGAAAAGUAUUUCUUCUAGUAGUGAAAACAGUGCUGAUAGUAUUCAAUACUAUUAAUCACCUAGACUCUCAAAUAAAAUAAAUCCAACUAGAAAAAUAUGAUCAACCUAACCUAAUACUAUAAUACUCUCAAGCAUUAGAUUUGUAAAAGCAUCUUUCCCCAGUGACUG